CAUGACGUCAAAAAAAGUAAAUUUAAAAAAGUAAAAAAGAAAAAAUGGGAAAAGAA
rnacentral:ribozyme from 12 species